GACGAACGCUGGCGGCGUGCUUAACACAUGCAAGUCGAACGGAAAGGCCCUGCUUUUGUGGGGUGCUCGAUUGGCGAACGGGGGAGGAACACGUGAGUAACCUGCCCUUGUCUUUGGGAUAAGUUCAGGAAACUGGGGCUAAGACCGGAUAGGAUCUCCUGCUGCGUGGUGGGGGUUGGAACGUUGCGGCGGGUGGGGAUGGACGCGCGGCUUAUCAGCUUGUUGGUGGGGUAGUGGCUUACCAAGGCUUUGACGGGUAGCCGGCCUGAGAGGGUGACCGGCCACAUUGGGACUGCGAUACGGAGCAGACUCCAACGGGAGGCAGCAGUGGGGAAUAUUGCACAAUGGGCGGAAGCCGGAUGCAGCAACGCCGCGUGCGGGAUGACGGCCUUCGGGUUGUAAACCGCUUUCGCCUGUGACGAAGCGUGAGUGACGGUAAUGGGUAAAGAAGCACCGGCUAACUACGUG
rnacentral:rRNA from 1 species